rnacentral:sRNA from 1 species
UCGCGGCCUCCAGGGCGCAGUUUAAAUUGCUGCACGACGCUUUCUUUAAACACCUGCGACUGCCUGAAUACGUCUCUGACUGAGGGAUAUGAUGUCUCCUGGGGCAACUGUAAGAAGCAGAAGAGACAAAGGACUGUCACUAACCUUCUCAUUUAUUUGUGUGGCAGCAUGUCAUUGCUUCAGCAACAUUAAGCUUCAUUUAAAAAAUAUGCUGUAUAUGCAAGGAGAAAUGGGAGACGGAGAAAAGAAAUGCCUGCAAAAGUGAUCUGUCCCAAUUGGACUCUGAACAUGAUAGGUGUGCAAGUGGGAGCUCGCACGGUGAACAAAGCCAGCAUCCAAGUUCCUAUUUUUAGAAGCUACAGAAGAGGGGGAAUAUGCAGCAUUUAUGUAACACGUUUCCAAAUAGCUCUGAAAGGAAGUUUUAUAUUUAAUGGAGUUGUUAACAAUUGGGAUUAAAAGCUUAAAAUAGAAGUCAGAACAUGUACCUCAAUUGGGGGCAUCCUGUUGGGUCUGCUGUAGAAUAUUAAGAUUGGAGAAGCUGUGUGCAGAGCUAGGUAAUGGGCACAGAAAUGAGCAGAGUCCUGUGUUAAAUCCAUCUUUCAUUUUUGCCCUGUGAUUCUUAUUGGCUUUCUCUGCCCCAUCUAUGGGACCCCUUCUGUCUGUAUUUUGCAACACCACAGUUUUUUCACCCAGUUGCUUAUCUCUUUUUCUUUUUCCUUUAGUAAAAUAGUGCUUUAACUCCA